rnacentral:rRNA from 1 species
AGAAGCUUGCUUCUCGGAUGGUUAGCGGCGGACGGGUGAGUAACACGUAGGCAACCUGCCCUCAAGUUUGGGACAACUACCGGAAACGGUAGCUAAUACCGAAUAGUUGUUUUCUUCUCCUGAAGAGAACUGGAAAGACGGAGCAAUCUGUCACUUGGGGAUGGGCCUGCGGCGCAUUAGCUAGUUGGUGGGGUAACGGCUCACCAAGGCGACGAUGCGUAGCCGACCUGAGAGGGUGAUCGGCCACACUGGGACUGAGACACGGCCCAGACUCCUACGGGAGGCAGCAGUAGGGAAUCUUCCGCAAUGGGCGAAAGCCUGACGGAGCAAUGCCGCGUGAGUGAUGAAGGUUUUCGGAUCGUAAAGCUCUGUUGCCAGGGAAGAACGCUUGGGAGAGUAACUGCUCUCAAGGUGACGGUACCUGAGAAGAAAGCCCCGGCUAACUACGUGCCAGCAGCCGCGGUAAUACGUAGGGGGCAAGCGUUGUCCGGAAUUAUUGGGCGUAAAGCGCGCGCAGGCGGUCAUUUAAGUCUGGUGUUUAAUCCCGGGGCUCAACCCCGGAUCGCACUGGAAACUGGGUGACUUGAGUGCAGAAGAGGAGAGUGGAAUUCCACGUGUAGCGGUGAAAUGCGUAGAUAUGUGGAGGAACACCAGUGGCGAAGGCGACUCUCUGGGCUGUAACGACGCU